rnacentral:rRNA from 1 species
UACGUAGGGUGCGAGCGUUGUCCGGAAUUAUUGGGCGUAAAGAGCUUGUAGGCGGUUUGUCGCGUCUGCUGUGAAAAUCCGGGGCUCAACCCCGGACUUGCAGUGGGUACGGGCAGACUAGAGUGUGGUAGGGGAGACUGGAAUUCCUGGUGUAGCGGUGGAAUGCGCAGAUAUCAGGAGGAACACCGAUGGCGAAGGCAGCUCGCUGGGACGGUACUGACGCUGAGGCGCGAAAGCGUGGGGAGCGAACAGG